rnacentral:misc_RNA from 1 species
GACCUGCGGAAGAUCAUUAAAAAUGAGACCUAUUUUCAAGGUCUAUAAUAAUCCUACCUUGUGAAUUUGUUUGUUUUAAAUUGUCGUCUUCCCUGUUUUGAUGGAGCUUGUAAAAGCAAAGUCAAUCAGGGGAAUGGCAAACUUUUUUUUAAAUUAACUUUUGUGUAUUCAUUUGUCUAAAAUUAUUUUAUAAUAUAAAAACAACUUUGACAAUGGAUCUCUUGGUUCUCGCAACGAUGAAGAACGCAGCAAAAUGCGAUAAGUAGUGUGAAUUGCAGAAACGUGAAUCAUGAUCUUCGAACGCAUAUUGCACUUUUUGGUUACCAAAAAAGUAUUCUGUUUGAGUAUCAGAAAAUAUUCUCAUAAAAACUAUGUUUUAUGGUUAUGAGUGUUUUACAACGAUAAACAAGUUGUUUCACUUUAAUUCUUUGACUUGAAAAAAAUCAUUAAAAACUGAUUUUUUUAAAUGGAUAAAUUUCCUGUAAAAAGGAAUAACCUAAACAAUUUAAGAAUUAUUAGUUGAUUUUUAAAAGUACUAAAGGAAAAAAGUAAAAAUUAACUUGAUCUCAAAUCAGUAGAGUACCCGCUGAACUUAAGCAUAUCAAUAGCGGAGGAAAAGAAACUAACUAGGAUUCCCUCAGAACGCGAGUGAACGGGAAGAGCUCAAAUUUGAAAUCUCAGGUCUACCUUGACGAAUUGUAGUUAAAGAAGUGUUUCUGUUGAGUUUGGUAAAUCUUGAUAGGACACAUAGAGGGUGAGAAUCCGUAUUGACAUAUUCCACUUGUGAUACACUUUCAAAGAGUCGGAUUGUUUGGGAAUCAGUCCAAAUGGGUGGUAAAUUCCAUCUAAGCUAAUACUGGCGAGAGACCGAUGCGAACAAGUACCGUGAGGAAAGAUGAAAAGAACUUGAAAAGAGAGUUAAACAGUACGUGAAAUGUCAAAAGGGAAGCGUUGACACCAGUGUUGUUUCUCGAAAUCAAUUAAAAAUGGUGGGAUUUUGUGUUGUAUUGACUUAUCAGCUUUCUGCACUUUUUCUGUCUUUUUAAUGCACUUUUGUUUAACAAUCACAUCAAUUCUUUGCUGUAAAGAGUCAUUGGAAGUGGCUUUCUUUCGGAGAAAGUGUUUAUAGCCUUUGACUUCUGCAGUCGGAGAGAUUGAGGUCUGCAGCGUAGAUCCUUCGGGUUAGAUACAUUUGUGCUAAGCUAUAGCCUUUCAUAGACAACUGUUGACUAUGAUCAGUCAUGUAGCUUACUCGCUUAUGC